CAUUAGGGAAGGAGGAAGAAAAGUAGCUGUGAGCAUUUAUAAAGGGAAGGAAUGGGAAGCCUUGUGCUGUGGAGGGGAGGUUCUUUGGUGGUGACUGCAAUAAAGCGUUUGGAGGCCCCUGCUGACAUUCAAGUCUUCAUCUAUCUCUACCUUAUGCUUCUGGAAGCCCAUAAAACAUGGCCUGAUCUAAAGACUGGUGAGUGGGAGAUUUUCAAAUUGUGCUUAUUCUCAUCCGACUCAGUCUGGGGGCUUGUCUGGGAUCCUGGAAUGCAGAAACUUCUCCUGAAUUUCUGCAAGAAACUUGGAACAGAGGGACCAAAUUUCCUGAGAAGACUGAUCCCUGAUAAAGAUGAUUGGUGAAGAUGAAGUGUGUUAGCUAUAUCUAAUUAAUGUUAUUGUUAUUGUAGAGAGAGAAACUGAGGCAAGUGAAAAUAAUUAUUUGCCAGUCACUUGCCAUGCAUUUGCUAUCAUCAGUUAGAUCAUCUCUGUGCAUCCAAAGUAGGGGAUAUGCCUUCUAAGAAGAUAAAAUUAAGCCAUCUUUUACUUCAGCCCCCAGCUCCAGAGUAUUAUCAAUGAGAAGGGGUCCAUUUUCCAAAACCCCCAUUUCAUUCAGGGGGAUGAAAAGCUCAUAAGAGAUACAUAAUUCUUUUGUAUUAGUAAAAUUUGCUCACUACUCUCAAAGUUUUGUAUGUCACAGCACCCCAACCUAAGGAGGCCUCUCUCUCAUCCCAUUUAUUGACAGUGGGAGAUUUUUGAGCUGUGCUUCAUCUCAUCCCACUCAAUCCUAACCUGAUUGAUUCAGGGCACUGUGAGUUACAGUAAAAGUGUUACUUGAAGCAAGUUACUUAAGGAAGCAAGGAGAUUGUUUAUUGCCCUUGAACCUUUUGUCUUUCAUCAAUCUCUUUCCCACAGUCCUGGAGUCUUUUAGAUAAAGAGUCAACAAAAGGUCUUUGAAAUUUAAAAACAGAUUAGUCAUUCCUUUCUCAAUUGGGGGUGCUAACCAGUGCUUUUUUCCUUGAGGAAGUCUUGUUUCCAAGAGAAAUUUUACAACUUAAGUGACUCCCUUAUCUCCUUUGGUACCAAAAAUGUCAAGAGAUGUUCUCAUUCUGUUGUAUAUGUAUACAUUUUGUUACACCUCUGACCCAAUAGACUGUUUCUUAAAAUUUUAAUUUGGGAGUUCGGAUUGACAGGAAUCAUGACAUGAACAAAAAGAUGGAAAGAAAGAGAUAAGAGGGGAGGUUUGUGACUGUGAAUUUUAUAAAUUGGUGGACUUAAAUCUGAUACUUUAGCAUUCUUUGAGCACCCAAGAAGGGGAAUGCCUCUUUCUAUUAAAAUCAAUAAAGCCAUCAUUUUUGCAUCUUUCUCUCUGGCU
rnacentral:lncRNA from 1 species